rnacentral:rRNA from 1 species
UACGGAGGGUGCAAGCGUUAUCCGGAUUCACUGGGUUUAAAGGGUGCGUAGGUGGGCAAGUAAGUCAGUGGUGAAAUCUCCGGGCUUAACCCGGAAACUGCCAUUGAUACUAUUUGUCUUGAAUACUGUGGACGUCAGCGGAAUAUGUCAUGUAGCGGUGAAAUGCUUAGAUAUGACAUAGAACACCAAUUGCGAAGGCAGCUGGCUACACAAAUAUUGACACUGAGGCACGAAAGCGUGGGGAUCAAACAGG